AGUGAACGCUGGCGGUAGGCCUAACACAUGCAAGUCGAACGGCAGCACAGGAGAGCUUGCUCUCUGGGUGGCGAGUGGCGGACGGGUGAGGAAUACAUCGGAAUCUACUUUUUCGUGGGGGAUAACGUAGGGAAACUUACGCUAAUACCGCAUACGACCUACGGGUGAAAGCAGGGGACCUUCGGGCCUUGCGCGAUUGAAUGAGCCGAUGUCGGAUUAGCUAGUUGGCGGGGUAAAGGCCCACCAAGGCGACGAUCCGUAGCUGGUCUGAGAGGAGGAUAAGCCACACUGGAACUGAGCCACGGUCCAGACUCCUACGGGAGGCAGCAGUGGGGAAUAUUGGAGAAUGGGCGCAAGCCUGAUCCAGCCAUACCGCGUGGGUGAAGAAGGCCGUCGGGUUGUAAAGCCCUUUUGUUGGGAAAGAAAUCCAGCUGGCUAAUACCCGGUUGGGAUGACCGUACCCAAAGAAUAAGCACCGGCUAACUUCGUGCCAGCCGCCGCUGUAA
rnacentral:rRNA from 1 species